UAGGGAAUAUUAGAAAUGGACGAAAGUCUGAUCUAGCAACACCGCGUGUGCGAAGAAGGCCUUCGGGUCGUAAAGCACUUUUUGGAAGGAAUAGGAAGGAAUGUACUUCCAGAAUAAGUCUCGGCUAACUACGUGCCAGCAGCCGCGGUAACACGUAGGAGGCGAACGUUAUCCGGAUUUACUGGGCGUAAAGGACAGGCAGGCGGCUUUGCAAGUUGAAGGUUAAAUCCUCUGACUCAAUCAGAGACAUGCCUUCAAAACUACAUUGCUUGAGGAUUUGAGAGGAGAGCGGAACUCCCGGUGUAAGGGUGAAAUCUGUAGAUAUCGGGAGGAACACCUGUGGCGAAAGCGGCUCUCUGGCAAAUCCCUGACGCUGAACUGUGAAAGCUAGGGGAGCAAACA
rnacentral:rRNA from 1 species